GGAUUGAUGGUGAACGGGUGAGUAACACGUGAGUAACCUGCCCUUAACUCUGGGAUAAGCCUGGGAAACUGGGUCUAAUACCGGAUAGGAGCGCCCACCGCAUGGUGGGUGUUGGAAAGAUUUAUCGGUUUUGGAUGGACUCGCGGCCUAUCAGCUUGUUGGUGAGGUAAUGGCUCACCAAGGCGACGACGGGUAGCCGGCCUGAGAGGGUGACCGGCCACACUGGGACUGAGACACGGCCCAGACUCCUACGGGAGGCAGCAGUGGGGAAUAUUGCACAAUGGGCGCAAGCCUGAUGCAGCGACGCCGCGUGAGGGAUGACGGCCUUCGGGUUGUAAACCUCUUUCAGUAGGGAAGAAGCGAAAGUGACGGUACCUGCAGAAGAAGCACCGGCUAACUACGUGCCAGCAGCCGCGGUAAUACGUAGGGUGCGAGCGUUAUCCGGAAUUAUUGGGCGUAAAGAGCUCGUAGGCGGUUUGUCGCGUCUGUCGUGAAAGUCCGGGGCUUAACCCCGGAUCUGCGGUGGGUACGGGCAGACUAGAGUGCAGUAGGGGAGACUGGAAUUCCUGGUGUAGCGGUGGAAUGCGCAGAUAUCAGGAGGAACACCGAUGGCGAAGGCAGGUCUCUGGGCUGUAACUGACG
rnacentral:rRNA from 1 species